rnacentral:rRNA from 1 species
AUACGGAGGGUGCAAGCGUUACUCGGAAUCACUGGGCGUAAAGCGCGCGCAGGCGGCUAUUUAAGUUGGAUGUGAAAGCCUACGGCUCAACCGUAGAACUGCAUCCAAAACUAUUUAGCUAGAGUGUGGGAGAGGAAGAUGGAAUUAGUUGUGUAGGGGUAAAAUCCGUAGAGAUAACUAGGAAUACCAAAAGCGAAGGCAAUCUUCUGGAACACUACUGACGCUGAGGCGCGUAAGCGUGGGGAGCAAACAGGAUUAGAUACCCUAGUAGUCC